rnacentral:rRNA from 1 species
UAGGGAAUCUUCGGCAAUGGACGGAAGUCUGACCGAGCAACGCCGCGUGAGUGAAGAAGGUUUUCGGAUCGUAAAGCUCUGUUGUAAGAGAAGAACGAGUGUGAGAGUGGAAAGUUCACACUGUGACGGUAUCUUACCAGAAAGGGACGGCUAACUACGUGCCAGCAGCCGCGGUAAUACGUAGGUCCCGAGCGUUAUCCGGAUUUAUUGGGCGUAAAGCGAGCGCAGGCGGUUAGAUAAGUCUGAAGUUAAGGGCUGUGGCUUAACCAUAGUACGCUUUGGAAACUGUUUAACUUGAGUGCAAGAGGGGAGAGUGGAAUUCCAUGUGUAGCGGUGAAAUGCGUAGAUAUAUGGAGGAACACCGGUGGCGAAAGCGGCUCUCUGGCUUGUAACUGACGCUGAGGCUUGAAAGCGUGGGGAGCAAACAGGAUUAGAUACCCUGGUAGUCCACGCCGUAAACGAUGAGUGCUAGGUGUUGGGUCCUUUCCGGGACUCAGUGCCGCAGCUAACGCAUUAAGCACUCCGCCUGGGGAGUACGACCGCAAGGUUG